UCUCUGGUGGUCCAGUGGCUAAGACUCUGCACUCCCACUGCAGGAGGCCUGGGUUUGAUCCCUGGUCAGGAAA
rnacentral:tRNA from 1 species